CUCACAGAGAUCCAACUGCUUCUGCCUCCUGAGUGCUGGAAUUAAAGACUUGGCAGGCAUUUUUUUUGUUUUUGUUUUUUUUUAGUAAACAGGUAAAUGUGCUAAUUGUUUGCUUUACUUCUUCAACUCUCUGAGAAUGAAUGAAUUGGGUCAGAUUGGGUUGUGGACCGUAGAACGUCAGAGGAGACACUGACUUUAUUCAGUGGGUUCUGUGUCCAGAGGAUCACCCUCGGGUCAUAAAGCCUGGUGACAGGUACCUUUACCAGGUGAGCCAUUUUUGUCAGUCCUGCAGUAAAAAUAUCACCCAUAUGUUUUGUUAGUUUGAGAAAAUUAUCACAAAGGCAAUACAGUACUAGAUAAAACUAACAUACGGGGAUGUUGGUUGCACUCUGAAGAUCCUCACACACAAAACAUUUGUGAAUAUGUUUGAAGGAAACAUUGUGUCUCAGUGAAAUACAUCACACGUGGUGUAUCAACAAAUCUAAAUGGGUACAAAAUAGGAGCACUGGCUGUUUCUACCCCAUCUACCAGUAGUGACUUACUGUGCACGGAAAAACAACAGUUCCCAGCUUUGCUGCUUUCUUGCUUUUCUAUCCAUAUGGAAAUAAUUACCUUUUUGCUGUUUUUCUUAUCUACUGUUGCUAUGGUGUAAAAUACUGGACUAUAUCUUAUUUCCAAGGAAUGCCGAAAGUGGUCUGCUUAGCUGCUAGAAGGCACACCCCACUGGCUACAUUUUGUUAAAACUCAAAUAUACUUGAGAAAUAAUUAGAUCAUAAUUCUCACAAGGCAGAAUUCUUCAGCUCUGGACACAUCCAGGGACUUAACUUCCCAGAGGAGACCAGUGUUAAUGAAGACCUGUGGUUGCAUGAGCUGGGGGUGGGGGUGGAGAGUUGACUCAGGGAUCUUGCUGAAAGGAAUGCAUGAGAGAAGUCAGAAGCUGAAAUCACUUGAUAUUUGAGACAGGAGUUGAUGAGGUACACACAGGGCAAAGGUAUUUUAUUUGAAACCCAUGUAAUCAAAAGCAGGCACAUGUUAGAAGGAAAUUCCUAUAAGCACUCAGGACCCAGCCGUGUGUGUGAACAUUUUUUUCAAGUUCUCCAAGCUUGUUUUAAACAUUUACAUGGAAAAUAUUGUUUUCAAAAGAAUUUGUAAUGACUUUUUUUUUUAAAUAAAGAGUUGCAAUUUUAACAAAAAUUCACACUAGAGGCCACGUGUGGUGGCAUUUGCUUAUAGCCUCUGCUGUGAGGGAGGCUGAGGAAGGGGGACCAAUCGAGCCCAGGACUGAGGUCAACCCUGGCAAUAUGUUGAGAUGCUCCUGCCUCAACCAAACAGAACCAAACAAACACGAUCCAUGAGGAAGCUUAAGUCAAAGCUUUGGAAUCUAGGGUGGCACCAGAGAUGCACCAAACAGCGAGAAAACAGGCAGGAAGGAGCUCCCGGGUGGAAUAAGGACGCAUCUGAAAUGAAGUCUUGAAGCCAAGCAUGGUGGCCCACACCUGUAAUCCUGACUUAGAGUCUUCAGGACGCUCAGGGACUACGGUUAGGUGCUGGACGUAAGGGUAUGCCAUGGGUGCACAGGAGCCUGUGGAAACCAGAAGAGGGGAGGGGAUGCCCUGGAACUGAGGCUACCAACACAGGUGUACCAUGUGCAUGCCCAGUGUCCAGAGGUCGGAAGAGGGCACUGGAUCUUCUGGAAGAGCAGCAGGUUCUCUUAAGAGGAGAGCUGUACCUCCAUCUCUGGAUUCCUUCACUUCUCAAGUAAAUGGAGAACAUCUGAGAAUUGACCGCUAUGCUCUGAAAGGACCACACAGCAUCCCUCUUCAGAAAUUCCUGUCCACAUCUUCACAGGAUCAACAGCUAGUUAUGCCCGAUUCCCUGAGAACCCUAGAACAGUGACACCCCAAUCCUCCUGGUCUUUGAAGAUGAUAAAGGAAACUGCGAGUGGAAUUUGCUCUCACCCAUUCUCCACCACAGGAGAACACAUACACAAGUUAAACUUCUCUUGCUGGUCGCUGAUGCUGCUGCAGAGCGCUGUCAUUGUGGUCACAUGCCCCUUAUUUUCAAUGAGUAUACAGCCAACUUCAAUAAGCAACAACUCAUUUACCAAAACAUGUGAACAACCUCAGCACCGAAGCAGCUAAGUGGAAAACUGCCUUCACCACACACUUCCCAGGACGCACCAGUCACCAGGCUGCCUUCGGGUUUGGCAGAGAUGGUUGGGGAAAUCCCUCACUCUGCCUUGGAAACACAUCUGGGCUCCUGACUGCUGCUGUCAUCCAGAGGAAGACAGCAACACCCGGUACCAACUUUUCUCCUUAUAUAGAAAGACCAUCUAUCCAGGAACCUCCACCACUCUCCAGCCUCACAGGGAGGAGCCAGGGACACAGGCAGAGAGGGGAAGUUUUAAUUUCCUGUGACUCAAAGCUUUAGUCACAGACAGUGGCAUCUUUUCAGCAAAUGCUACACAAGCGAAGGCUCCUAUCACUUAUGGGAAAGCUCAGAGGGCAUUUGCUCAAGGUCCUGUGACUGUGACGUCUCCAGUGUGUGUGCCAGCAGAACAGGGUGGGGAGCCGCAAGUCAGAGUGGAAUCUUCCUCACACCUCUUUCCUAGAGAGUGGCCAUGUUCUACUCUUUCUAUCUGUUGUAUGGUGUAUGCAUGUGGAGAACAGAGGUUGAUGUCAGAUGUCCCUUGUCAUUGACACUUUUUGAGGCAAGGACUCUCAUGGAACUCUUAGUUAAUGGCCACUCUGGGGACCCUCUGGUUUCUGCUCCACCCACCCCCCCAACCUCCCUGUGCUGGGGUGCUGAUGUGGAUGCUGGGGAAUCCACUCAGGGCCUCAUGCUUUUGUGGCAAGCACUGAGUCGCCUCCCUAGCCUUCCUCACUUCUGGCGCCUCUUUUACUCCAGCCCGGCCCCAUACCCCAGCCUCUAUCUGGAGAGGAGCUCCUAAUCCGACCACAGCAUUCAACACACGCUGUUGGCUAGGCACACAAUGGAUCCUUAAGAGAUAAUGUUCUAGGGGCAACAGACCAAACACAAGAAAGGGACAAAUGACUUGUAAAUUAAGUACUCUUCUUUUGUCGGUGGCACUAGAAAUUGAAUCUAUGGCUUUGUGCAAGCUACUAUGAACUGUGUCACAGGUCCAAAGCACCUUCAAGAAAACAGACUAUAGUAAGGAAUAGAAGACUUGGGUAGACUAUCCCCAGUUGGUUCAUCAGCUGAUCCUGCAUCUUCUACACCCCGGCCCCAGUCCCCUUCUGUUCUCGUUUCUCUCAAGUCGGGUUUCAUCCAGCCUAGGGCGGCCUUCAGCUCCUGGUCCUCCUGCCUUCGCCUCCCGAGUGCUGGGAGCACAGGCUGUGCCAGCACGCUUGGAUCCUCCUGCUCUUGGUAUCACUUGCUGAGUGUUUUCCCAUUAAUGUGCCUUCUCUUUCCCCAUAGCUGUUUUUCAGCUCUAACACCAGUCUGAGGAAAACAUUUCUUCAUUCUCAAUCAGGAAUUUUCUCCCUCUUUUAAAUUCUUUAUCUUAAAAAAAGUUGUUUUCACAAGGUCUCACCAUGUAGCCCAGGGUGGCUUCAAACUUGAGAUCCCCUACCUCUGCUUCCCAAGCGCUGAGAACAUAUUC